ensembl:lncRNA
GGCAAAUUGUAUGGCUUUCUGUGUGUGUGGGAACGAUUCGGAAAUUUUAAUCUCUACUACCAGUUUGUUGCUGCUCUGGGAGGAAGAAACAACAACAAGAAAGUGCCUUUUCAGAAAUGUGAAUGAAAAGAGUUAUCUUCCCUAGCUGUGCGAGAGCAGUUCCUGUCAAGUUCAGUCCCACGCCGCAGACCCUUCGCUGGCUGUUGUGCUUGGAACACGGCUGGGCCCGGCCUCCCGCACGCAAGGAACAGCAGCCUGUCAUCAUCAGGCUCAGCGUGGCGGCGCCGGCCAGAUGCGAGCAUAGAACCCACGGAGGUAUUAACUCAAAGCGAGGCAACCCUGCCAAUGCCAGUCUCCCAGAUCUCAUUCACAACCCAUGCCAGCUCCAGCCAGUCAGCCAGCCAGGCGGCGGCAGCGAAGGGCGUGCGGGAAGGCAGCGGCGUGACAGCAAGUUUCCCAUGAUUUAUUUCUGCUCUGCUGAGCGGGCUCCCAGCUGAACUGGAGCACGGGAAACUUGCAUCUGUUCUGCGGGCAGGCACGCAGCACUGCAGCACGGCGGCAAUUAUGGGAGGCUGCAUGACCAAAGGGGAGCUGGGCUGGUCAGCUCCAUUCAUCCACAGCCAUAGAUGAAUUCAUUUGGCUGUUGUUUGCAAGCCUGCUGCAAACUUGUUGAUCCCGGCCUGUCUAAGGGAACAGUGGUCAGUCCUUGGAGGAUGCUGUCCAGAGUGCUGUGGACCUUUGCUUUUGGAGAUGGUCUCAUCUAUCUGCUAUGGUGAUGGGAGCCUUUUGAGGUGCUCUGGGUCCGGCUGUAUGAAUGGGAUGGAUGCUUAUUGCCAUUAUACAUCAAAAACGCAUGUGAUCUUCACCUGGAAAGGGUUUCUUAGGAGAAGAGGCUGAGACGGACCUACUGUUUCUACUUCGGGAUGAAAUAAAUAAAAAGAGGGAAACUGGGAAGACAGUGAAAACUACAAAAAAGAUGAGGAAAGAUGACCUCAUUUGACUGCUUUUCCAAAUUCAUGAGCAAGCUACUCAAUAAGGAAGCACAGAGGGAAAAACAAAGGAAGAUCUGAAACUGAUAAGGAAAUAUUUUUAGACAACACUUAAUUAACCCUGGGAACUCAGUGCCAUAAAACACCACUGAGCCCAAGAGAUGAGCAGGAUUCAAAACAGGCCAGGCAUUUGUAUGGGUAACGAGAACUACAUUAGACUAGAUUAACAAAAUAUGAGGGAUACAAACUCUCAUGCGCUAUGGCACUAGGAAGCAGCUCACUGACGAAAAUUAGGAAAAUACCUUCCCCUAUGGGCAGAUCAUUCCAUAAUCAUUCAUUAUGGGGUUUCAUGUGCUUCCCUCUGCGGCAGCUGGGCUUGGCUGCUGAUGGAGCCGGGUGCGGAGCGUGGCAGAACAAUGGCCUGAUUCGGCACCGGCAUCCCUUUGUUCCCACACGGUAUUGUUCUGCGAGGGACACUUUCCACAAAUAAGAAGAGGGAAAUCAAAGGGAUGACAAGGAAGCCGUGCAAAUGCCUCUGACAUAAAUCUUUACCUUGCACGCACAUGCCCUCAUCCCAGUGAAUUAACAGGAACAAAAGGAAAAAAGGUGGCUGGUAGGAUUGUUCACACAAUAUGAAUUAAGAAGGGCCUGGGAACACCUUCAGCAUGAGUUAGCUGGGUUUGCUUUGAGGAAAGGUUUGGGAGCUGAUUCUAGCAGCAUGUGCAGAACUUCCCCAUGCCUUCUCGUUGAGGAGAGAAAUCUCAAGGGAUUUGGGAUAGUGUGCUUGGAAUCUGGAGAGCCGGGAUGUACGGG